AAUGACCCUAUAUCAAGAGCAUCAGAAAGUUAACAGGUUAAAUGGAUAUCUGUCUGAUAUAGAAUCAAUUCUUGAUCAAACCAAUACACACCAG